GACGAACGCUGGCGGCGUGCCUAAUACAUGCAAGUCGAACGCUGAAGGAGGAGCUUGCUCUUCUGGAUGAGUUGCGAACGGGUGAGUAACGCGUAGGUAACCUGCCUGGUAGCGGGGGAUAACUAUUGGAAACGAUAGCUAAUACCGCAUAACAGUAGAUGCUGCAUGACAUUUACUUAAAAGGUGCAAUUGCAUCACUACCAGAUGGACCUGCGUUGUAUUAGCUAGUUGGUGGGGUAACGGCUCACCAAGGCGACGAUACAUAGCCGACCUGAGAGGGUGAUCGGCCACACUGAGACUGAGACACGGCCCAGACUCCUACGGGAGGCAGCAGUAGGGAAUCUUCGGCAAUGGACGGAAGUCUGACCGAGCAACGCCGCGUGAGUGAAGAAGGUUUUCGGAUCGUAAAGCUCUGUUGUAAGAGAAGAACGAGUGUGAGAGUGGAAAGUUCACACUGUGACGGUAUCUUACCAGAAAGGGACGGCUAACUACGUG
rnacentral:rRNA from 1 species